UACGAAGGGGGCUAGCGUUGCUCGGAAUCACUGGGCGUAAAGCGCACGUAGGCGGGUCGUUAAGUCGGGGGUGAAAUCCCGGAGCUCAACUCCGGAACUGCCUUUGAUACUGGCGACCUUGAGGCUGGAAGAGGUUAGUGGAAUUCCCAGUGUAGAGGUGAAAUUCGUAGAUAUUGGGAAGAACACCAGUGGCGAAGGCGGCUAACUGGUCCAGAUCUGACGCUGAGGUGCGAAAGCGUGGGGAGCAAACAGG
rnacentral:rRNA from 1 species